rnacentral:rRNA from 1 species
UACGGAGGUUGCGAGCGUUGUUCGGAAUGACUGGGCGUAAAGGGAGCGCAGGCGGUCUGUUAAGUCUGGAGUGAAAGCCCGGGGCUCAACCCCGGCGGGUCUUCGGAUACUGGCAGACUUGAGUACGGAAGAGGAGAGCGGAAUUCCAGGUGUAGCGGUGAAAUGCGUAGAUAUCUGGAGGAACACCGGUGGCGAAAGCGGCUCUCUGGUCCGAUACUGACGCUCAGGCUCGAAAGCGUGGGGAGCAAACGGGAUUAGAUACCCCGGUAGUCCACGCCGUAAACGUUGUGCGCUAGGUGUAGGAGGUAUCGACCCCUCCUGUGCCGCAGCUAACGCAUUAAGCGCACCGCCUGGGGAGUACGCCCGCAAGGGUGAA